rnacentral:misc_RNA from 1 species
CCCGCCCAUCUGGUUUUCUACUAGAGGAUGCGUUGAUGCUUCCCGAAGAUCUUGACAGCAAUGAAGGCAUAGAUCAUAAGAGCAAUUUGCACAAUGCCGAUGAUAAUCAAUGAUAGGUAUCCUACAUACAUUGCAGCACAUCUGCUCAUCUGCAUUCAAUUUGGCACGGAUAAGAUCUAUAUCAGUUCCACGGAGUUUCUUCUCCAGUUCUACUUCAGAGCAUUGUUCAUGAUGGAUAUGCU